GUCCGCAAUAAGGCGGCUUAUGCUGAGCGUAAUACCCACAGCGUACGGGCUAGAACCCCGAUCGGACUUCUUUAAGGAGAAAACAACAUG
rnacentral:ncRNA from 1 species